GUGAAAUUGAACUCGCUGUGAAGAUGCAGUGUACCCGCGGCAAGACGGAAAGACCCCGUGAACCUUUACUAUAGCUUGACACUGAACAUUGAGCCUUGAUGUGUAGGAUAGGUGGGAGGCUUUGAAGCGUGGACGCCAGUCUGCGUGGAGCCGACCUUGAAAUACCACCCUUUAAUGUUUGAUGUUCUAACGUGGACCCGUGAUCCGGGUUGCGGACAGUGUCUGGUGGGUAGUUUGACUGGGGCGGUCUCCUCCUAAAGAGUAACGGAGGAGCACGAAGGUUGGCUAAUCCUGGUCGGACAUCAGGAGGUUAGUGCAAUGGCAUAAGCCAGCUUGACUGCGAGCGUGACGGCGCGAGCAGGUGCGAAAGCAGGUCAUAGUGAUCCGGUGGUUCUGAAUGGAAGGGCCAUCGCUCAACGGAUAAAAGGUACUCCGGGGAUAACAGGCUGAUACCGCCCAAGAGUUCAUAUCGACGGCGGUGUUUGGCACCUCGAUGUCGGCUCAUCACAUCCUGGGGCUGAAGUAGGUCCCAAGGGUAUGGCUGUUCGCCAUUUAAAGUGGUACGCGAGCUGGGUUUAGAACGUCGUGAGACAGUUCGGUCCCUAUCUGCCGUGGGCGCUGGAGAACUGAGGGGGGCUGCUCCUAGUACGAGAGGACCGGAGUGGACGCAUCACUGGUGUUCGGGUUGUCAUGCCAAUGGCACUGCCCGGUAGCUAAAUGCGGAAGAGAUAAGUGCUGAAAGCAUCUAAGCACGAAACUUGCCCCGAGAUGAGUUCUCCCUGAGACUUAGAGUCUCCUGAAGGAACGUUGAAGACGACGACGUUGAUAGGCCGGGUGUGUAAGCGCAGCGAUGCGUUGAGCUAACCGGUACUAAUGAACCGUGAGGCUUAACCUUACAACGCCGAAG
rnacentral:rRNA from 1 species